UUCCCGAGCCGCAUCCCUGGCACUAGCAGAAUAAACUCGUCGUCUUGCAGUGUCAAAAAUGGUUUGGGCG